rnacentral:misc_RNA from 1 species
UAAACUUUUCAGUGUUUAGGUUGCAAUAUUAGCAUUAGGUAGUUUUUAUAAGAAAAUGAAGCAGUUAUUUUUAAUAUGCAGUUUCAUCAUUAUAAUAAAAAAUCGGACAACUGUAGCAUGGAAUCAGUCAUGUGAUCCAUUGAUAGAUGUUAGUGGACCAUGCCAUCGCUGCGAGUGCAGAGCCGAUGGCGACCUUUAUUGUGAACUACGCAAAUGCGACGCGGCGAGCUUUGCUGAAUACACGUACACUUCACUCGAAUGUGCCCCAAAUGUGAAAUAUAACGAAGGAUUCAUAAGCUGUCAAUGCGAUCCCUACGGCUCUUGGUUGAAUGAUGACUGCCGGAAAACCUUUAGCUACGUUGGUGUUCCACUUCAUAUUUCAACUGCUGUAGCUGACGUAGGAAUGACAUGCGACAGUUCGAAGGGUUACAUCGUCCAAUGCAACUUCUGCGUGUGCAAAAGUGGUGUUAUCGAGUCAGAAUACUGUACAAACAAUCUGUGCGAUGGAGGACGUACAGAAGUAACUACGGUUGACUUGACGAGGUUCAACUUUAUAUAUCCCGAUAGGAAAAAGUGGGAGCUGAUUCCGAAAGAUCCUGAAUGUACUCCAAAUGAAUUGUUCACCGUCGGUUGUCAUGUCUGCGAAUGUUCAGAUACAGGUUUUGUUAAAAACUGUACCACGGAGUAUUGUGGACCGUUGCAGGAUCUUAUACCUCCUGGUUAUUUGAAAAGGAUGUCACUCCGGAGUACGAGUGGUGUGGGGAUCUUACGUGAUAGGAGAAUGUGCGAGCCGAAUUCAAGUUUCUCAGAUGGUGGAUGCAACGAAUGUAAAUGUACUCCAGAAAGAUACUGGGUUUGUACGAUAACCUGUCCUAUUGUACUGAACGGUAAACCGUCUGGUAUCGAUAUAAAAUGUACUCCGUCCACAACUUUGACUGAUGGAUGCAAUGUGUGUUUAUGCUCGGCUAAGGAACUUUGGGUUUGCAGCAUCAAGUGUCCCCACCCAGAAAAGCAAGGCAGCUCCAAAUCUGAGGGCUAAGUCAAGUCAUACAAUAAAGAAUAAUACUACGCAUAGAACGGCAACUCUCCGUUCCCCACCAACGGCUGAGCUAAAGAAUAAUACUAGGCAUAGAACGGCAACUCUCCGCUCCCCACCAGCGGCUGAGCUAGGUUUACCUCACCCCCCCUCGAGCAUAGUAUAGAAUUAAAUCGUAUGGCGUCAGACGUCACACACUCACCUCACACAGAUGCGCGUGUAAGUACGAUAACGUACACAUUGACGUCAUCGUACUUACAGGUGUCUGUGUAAAACUUGGUUGUUUGUAUGAAGUGUUCGGGGUGUCGUCAAGUGGCAAUUAUUCCCAUUUCCUAAGCUUCCGUCUUCCAGGUUCGAACCCUGUUAAGAACUUAAACACAAAAAUCACUUUGGGAUCCGUAGUUCGGCCAGGUUAUUGCAGGCUGAUCAUACGAUUGUCCGAUAGUAAGAUGAAAUUUAAAUGAAAAAUCACGUAAAUUUAAGUGUUUUUUUUUAAUUAUUUUCCGUACCAUACUUUUGCGGCGGAAAAUUCAGAUGAUGGUGAAAAAUAAACAUAUACCUACUUACAUAUCUAAACAUAAUAUACCCACUCCAGCGGGGGUGAGGUCGAUACGAAUGGUGCGGGGCGGAUAGUUACCGUUCUAUAUAUACUACAUACAUACAUACAUAAACUGUCUAUAUACGUCCCACUACUGGGCACAGGCCUCCCCUCAAUCAACCGGAGGGGGUAUGGAGCAUACUCCACCACGCUGCUCCACUGCGGGUUGGUGGAGGUGUUUUUUUUACGGCUAAUAGCCGGGACCAACGGCUUAACGUGCCCUCCGAAGCACGGAAUCAUGUUACUUUUUCGGACAAUCAGGUGAUUCAAGCCUGAAAAGUCCUUACCAAACAAAGGACAGUCUCACAAAGUGAUUUCGACAAUGUCCCCAGCCUAACGAUCUAACCACUAGACCACGGAGGCUGUUAUAUAUACCUAUACUACAUAAGGACGCAAUCAUGAAGUAGGUACGUUAUAGCUAACUUUUUUGACGUGACUUAUUGUAGAUUUAUCGCAAAUGGUAUAACUAAAUGGUCAAAUGGACAGCGCUGAGGGUUCUCCCGGUGCAAUAUUGUUUGUGGAAUUCCACAAUUCGACGGAAGAACGACAUUUUUGGAUGUUUGGCAUUUGAAUUACUUUAUAAUUGGGUAGUUUUCUAGGUCAAAUAUAAAUUAUGAAACUCUGAUCACUAAAUAAAGACAGAUCUAAAGGUGACAAAAACGUUUUCUUUCUUCUAUUUAACUUAUUUAUGAAUUUUGAUCAAGAAAAAUAUAAUAAUAGGUGGGACAUUUUGUCACAGGUUGCAUUUUCUUACAAAUUCCAUAGUAAUUUAGUUAUUUGACGUUUAGUAAAAAGUAACUGAUUUGACUAGUUGGAAACUACCCUAUUUAAUCCAACAGGCCUCAGAGAGUUGGGUGCGAAGCUCGGCUCAGGGCAUCGUCUGGGAGGAUAAUAUUUGAAACAAAUAAACGACUUUAAUGGGCCGAAAACGAUAGCGCUAAAUGAGGGAAUUCAUCAACCACGACGGCGGGGCAGUAUCGGAGUCCUGAACUGUUUAUUGUUGCGAGUUAAUUGGCCGCCUCUAUGGCUAGAGGAAACGAGUCGUCAGGAUUGUAUAUUACGACCUUUGGUUUUCACAACCAAGGUUACAAUAAGUAAGUAAAUUGCACGCCAUGCGUAAUUCAAUAAAUACUACAAGAG